AUACGGAGGGGACUGGCGUUGUUCGGAAUUACUGGGCGUAAAGCGUACGUAGGCGGAUCAGAAAGUAUGGGGUGAAAUCCCAGGGCUCAACCCUGGAACUGCCUCAUAAACUCCUGGUCUUGAGUUCGAGAGAGGUGAGUGGAGUUCCGAGUGUAGAGGUGAAAUUCGUAGAUAUUCGGAGGAACACCAGUGGCGAAGGCGGCUCACUGGCACGAUACUGACGCUGAGGUACGAAAGUGUGGGGAGCAAACAGGAUUAGAAACCCUAGUAGUCC
rnacentral:rRNA from 1 species